rnacentral:rRNA from 1 species
AUGCUGGAGGUAUCAGAAGUGCGAAUGCUGACAUAAGUAACGAUAAAGCGGGUGAAAAGCCCGCUCGCCGGAAGACCAAGGGUUCCUGUCCAACGUUAAUCGGGGCAGGGUGAGUCGACCCCUAAGGCGAGGCCGAAAGGCGUAGUCGAUGGGAAACAGGUUAAUAUUCCUGUACUUGGUGUUACUGCGAAGGGGGGACGGAGAAGGCUAUGUUGGCCGGGCGACGGUUGUCCCGGUUUAAGCGUGUAGGCUGGUUUUCCAGGCAAAUCCGGAAAAUCAAGGCUGAGGCGUGAUGACGAGGCACUACGGUGCUGAAGCAACAAAUGCCCUGCUUCCAGGAAAAGCCUCUAAGCAUCAGGUAACAUCAAAUCGUACCCCAAACCGACACAGGUGGUCAGGUAGAGAAUACCAAGGCGCUUGAGAGAACUCGGGUGAAGGAACUAGGCAAAAUGGUGCCGUAACUUCGGGAGAAGGCACGCUGAUAUGUAGGUGAAGCGACUUGCUCGUGGAGCUGAAAUCAGUCGAAGAUACCAGCUGGCUGCAACUGUUUAUUAAAAACACAGCACUGUGCAAACACGAAAGUGGACGUAUACGGUGUGACGCCUGCCCGGUGCCGGAAGGUUAAUUGAUGGGGUCAGCGCAAGCGAAGCUCUUGAUCGAAGCCCCGGUAAACGGCGGCCGUAACUAUAACGGUCCUAAGGUAGCGAAAUUCCUUGUCGGGUAAGUUCCGACCUGCACGAAUGGCGUAAUGAUGGCCAGGCUGUCUCCACCCGAGACUCAGUGAAAUUGAACUCGCUGUGAAGAUGCAGUGUACCCGCGGCAAGACGGAAAGACCCCGUGAACCUUUACUAUAGCUUGACACUGAACAUUGAGCCUUGAUGUGUAGGAUAGGUGGGAGGCUUGGAAGUGUGGACGCCAGUCUGCAUGGAGCCGACCUUGAAAUACCACCCUUUAAUGUUUGAUGUUCUAACGUUGACCCGUAAUCCGGGUUGCGGACAGUGUCUGGUGGGUAGUUUGACUGGGGCGGUCUCCUCCUAAAGAGUAACGGAGGAGCACGAAGGUUGGCUAAUCCUGGUCGGACAUCAGGAGGUUAGUGCAAUGGCAUAAGCCAGCUUGACUGCGAGCGUGACGGCGCGAGCAGGUGCGAAAGCAGGUCAUAGUGAUCCGGUGGUUCUGAAUGGAAGGGCCAUCGCUCAACGGAUAAAAGGUACUCCGGGGAUAACAGGCUGAUACCGCCCAAGAGUUCAUAUCGACGGCGGUGUUUGGCACCUCGAUGUCGGCUCAUCACAUCCUGGGGCUGAAGUAGGUCCCAAGGGUAUGGCUGUUCGCCAUUUAAAGUGGUACGCGAGCUGGGUUUAGAACGUCGUGAGACAGUUCGGUCCCUAUCUGCCGUGGGCGCUGGAGAACUGAGGGGGGCUGCUCCUAGUACGAGAGGACCGGAGUGGACGCAUCACUGGUGUUCGGGUUGUCAUGCCAAUGGCACUGCCCGGUAGCUAAAUGCGGAAGAGAUAAGUGCUGAAAGCAUCUAAGCACGAAACUUGCCCCGAGAUGAGUUCUCCCUGACUCCUUGAGAGUCCUGAAGGAACGUUGAAGACGACGACGUUGAUAGGCCGGGUGUGUAAGCGCAGCGAUGCGUUGAGCUAACCGGUACUAAUGAACCGUGAGGCUUAACCUUACAACGCCGAAGCUGUU